rnacentral:rRNA from 1 species
AUUGAACGCUGGCGGCAUGCCUUACACAUGCAAGUCGAACGGCAGCAUGGAGAGCUUGCUCUCUGAUGGCGAGUGGCGAACGGGUGAGUAAUGCACCGGAACGUACCGUGUAAUGGGGGAUAACGUAGCGAAAGUUACGCUAAUACCGUAUACGACCUGAGGGUGAAAGCAGGGGAUCGCAAGACCUUGCGUUAUACGAGCGGCCGAUGUCAGAUUAGCUAGUUGGUGAGGUAAAGGCUAACCAAGGCGACGAUCUGUAGCGGGUCUGAGAGGAUGAUCCGCCACACGGGGACUGAGACACGGCCCAGACUCCUACGGGAGGCAGCAGUGUGGAAUUUUGGACAAUGGGGGCAACCCUGAUCCAGCCAUGCCGCGUGAGUGAAGAAGGCCUUCGGGUUGUAAAGCUCUUUCGGCCGGGAAGAAAUCGCACAGGCUAAUACUCUGUGUAGAUGACGGUACCGGCAUAAGAAGCACCGGCUAACUACGUGCCAGCCGCCGCAGUAA